rnacentral:rRNA from 1 species
UACAGAGGGGGGCAAGCGUUGUUCGGGAAUUACUGGGCGUAAAGGGCGCGUAGGCGGCCGCCCUAAGUCAGACGUGAAAUCCCUCGGCUCAACCGGGGAACUGCGUCUGAUACUGGGUGGCUUGAAUCCGGGAGAGGGAUGCGGGAAUUCCAGGUGUAGCGGUGAAAUGCGUAGAUAUCUGGAGGAACACCGGUGGCGAAGGCGGCAUCCUCGGACCGGCAUUGACGCUGAGGGCGCGAAAGCCAGGGGAGCAAAGCGGGAUUAAGAUGACCCCUGAGUCCCAG